rnacentral:piRNA from 1 species
UGCCACAUCCUAGCCUUUCAAAUGGCAGC